AGGGCGGGCCCGACUUGUAGCCUCGGUCGCCGCCUCUCGGGCCGGGAAACGAUGUAGGAACCGCCAGACAGUCCCCAGCUCUCCCCGGCCCGAGCCCCGCGGCCUGCCGCCGUCGCAGCCGCCGCCAUGAAGAAGCAAUUCAACCGCAUGAAGCAGCUGGCCAACCAGACCGUCGGCAGAGCUGAGAAAACAGAAGUUCUCAGUGAAGAUCUGCUUCAGAUUGAACGGCGUCUGGACACUGUGCGGUCAAUGUGCCACCAUUCACAUAAGCGCUUGAUAGCAUGCUUCCAGGGUCAGCAUGGCACCGAUGUUGAGAGGAGACAUAAAAAGCUUCCUCUGACAGCACUUGCCCAGAACAUGCAGGAGGCAUCAACCCAGCUAGAAGAGUCUCUCCUGGGGAAGAUGCUGGAGACCUGUGGGGAUGCUGAGAAUCAACUGGCUCUUGAGCUCUCACAGCAUGAAGCCUUUGUCGAGAAGGAGAUAGUGGACCCUCUCUAUGGCAUAGCAGAGGUGGAGAUUCCCAACAUCCAAAAACAAAGGAAACAGCUUGCUAGACUGGUGUUGGACUGGGAUUCUGUCAGAGCAAGGUGGAACCAAGCACACAAGUCUUCAGGAACAAACUUUCAGGGGCUUCCAUCCAAGAUAGACACCCUAAAGGAAGAGAUGGAUGAAGCUGGAAAUAAAGUCGAACAGUGCAAGGAUCAACUUGCAGCAGAUAUGUACAAUUUCAUGGCCAGAGAAGGAGAAUACGGCAAAUUCUUUGUGAUGUUAUUAGAAGCCCAAGCAGAUUACCAUAGAAAAGCAUUAGCAGUCUUAGAAAAGGCCCUUCCCGAAAUGCGCGCCCAUCAAGAUAAGUGGGCAGAGAAGCCAGCCUUCGGUACCCCCCUGGAGGAACACCUGAAGAGGAGUGGGCGUGAGAUUGCUCUCCCUAUUGAGGCCUGUGUCAUGUUGUUGCUGGAGACUGGCAUGAAGGAGGAGGGUCUUUUUCGGAUUGGGGCUGGAGCCUCCAAAUUAAAGAAGUUGAAAGCUGCUCUGGACUGCUCCACAUCUCAUCUGGAUGAAUUCUAUUCAGACCCCCAUGCUGUAGCAGGUGCUUUGAAGUCUUAUUUGCGGGAAUUGCCUGAGCCCUUGAUGACUUUCGGUCUGUAUGAAGAAUGGACACAAGUUGCAAGUGUGCAGGAUCAAGACAAAAAACUUCAAUAUUUAUGGACUACGUGUCAGAAGUUGCCACCACAAAAUUUUGUUAACUUUAGGUAUUUAAUCAAGUUUCUUGCAAAGCUUGCCCAGACCAGUGACGUUAAUAAAAUGACUCCUAGCAACAUUGCCAUUGUGCUGGGCCCUAACCUGUUGUGGGCCAAACAAGAAGGAACACUGGCUGAAAUAGCAGCUGCCACUUCUGUCCACGUGGUCGCGGUGAUUGAACCUAUCAUCCAGCAUGCAGAUUGGUUCUUCCCUGGAGAGAUAGAAUUCAAUGUGUCAGAAGCAUUUGUUCCUCUUGUUACCCCAAAUUCUAAUCACUCAACCCACACUGGAAAUGACUCUGACUCGGGGACCCUGGAGAGGAAGCGACCAGCCAGCAUGGCGGUGAUGGAAGGGGACUUGGUGAAGAAGGAGAGCUUUGGUGUGAAGCUUAUGGACUUCCAGGCCCACCGGCGGGGUGGCACUCUAACUAGAAAGCACAUAUCCCCUGCUUUCCAGCCGCCUCUCCCGCCCACAGAUGGCAACGCCUUGGCUCCAGCAGGCCCAGAGGCUCCUUCUCAGAGCUCUAGGUCUGACAGCAGCUCAGGGGGUGGGCCUGUCCCCUCUUCUGCAGGCAUAUUGGAGCAGGGGCUGAGCCCGGGUGACAGCAGUCCUCCAAAACCCAAAGACUCUGUGUCUGCAGCUGUCCCUGCACCAGGAAGAAACAACACCCAGGUGACCACAGGCCCAAGCCAGGCCCAGGCAGGUGGCAGCUCCCAUCAGCUCUCAGUGGGCACACCUCUCAGUGCAGCUGGUCCCAGCCCUCACACUCUGCGUCGAGCUGUGAAGAAACCUGCCCCAGCACCCCCAAAACCAGGAAACCCACCUCCUGGCCACCCUGGGGGUCAGAGCUCUCCAGGCACAGGAACAUCCCCAAAGCCGAACACACGCAGCCCAUCGCCACCCCCGCAGCAGGCCCCGGGCACACGCCGCAGCUCCAGCAGCCUGCCUCCCAUCCAGGCACCCAGCCACCCACCACCGCAACCCCCUACACAACCCCGGCUGGGAGAGCAGGGACCAGAGCCGGGGCCCACGCCACCGCAAACUCCCACACCACCCAGCACCCCGCCCUUGGCCAAGCAGAAUCCCUCGCAUAGUGAGACCACACAGCAGCAUGGGACCCUCCCAAGGCAGCGGCCGGUGCCCAAGCCCCGUAACCGGCCUAGUGUGCCGCCACCCCCGCAUCCGCCUGGUGCCCACGCAGGGGAUAGCAGCCUUGCAGCACCCACAGCCUCCAGAAUUGUUACUGAUGCCCUUCCCAGUGCCCUCACAGGUGGGGAAGGUUUCCAGAACUAAGAUGUAUGACCUGGCAUAUUCAGUAGGAACUGAAAUUGGAAUGUUUAAUGACACCAAUUCUAGGAGUUCGGAAUCACUUCGCAACAUCUUUCCUGAAAUUCAUUCAGACUUGGCAAGCAAAGAAGUACCUGGCCACAUUCUGCUGGACAUAGACAAUGACACAGAAAGUACGGCAUUGUGAAGAAAGCCACUUGCCAGCCUUUGGCCCUCCAUCCUGGUGAACAGAACUGGGUCAGGCAAGCCUCUGUCCCUGCAGACCACACAGUGAGAAGCUUUCAGUGGGAGAAGGAAGGUCUGACCACGAAGGACUAGACUCCCACGGCCCACAGAGAAGGGAAAGGGCCAAUCCUCAAAGCCGGAUGACCUGUGUCGUGAAGAAGUUGGCUUGCUUUAUCUAGGACAAAAAUCAUGCCAAAAAUGAUAGAACAAGGAAAUACCUACAGUGGAAAGAGUAUUACUGCUGAGAAAUGUGUGGGAAACCUUUGCCCAUGCUGUUAACACAGACAGCAACUUGGAGUGACUAAGAGACUCACCUAUCUAUUUAAUAAAACACAUUAUAAUUAUGCAAGUUGCCUACUUCCUGCUACUUGGACUUUGGUUGUCACAUACCAGAGGGAGCUUCUGUUGUUCCUUCAGACAAGCUGCAGAAUCAUUUUGUAUUAAAUACAGUCUGUGUCUCCUCCAACCCUGAGAACCUCGAGCAUUGAUGGCGACUGCUGGCUCUGUCGCCUCAUCAAACUGGAUGUGAGUCGUGCCUUGUGGAUUGCCAGAAUAUGGAGAGAAAUAUACUGUUCUUUUUUAAAAAAAAAAAAAAAAAACAAUAUAAUGGCUACUUGAUAAAGAUGGAAUGUUAUUCUAGUUUUGUGUUUAAUUUGAAUUAAAUAUAUUCUGUGGUUUAUAAGAAAA